rnacentral:rRNA from 1 species
AGCACCGGCUAACUCCGUGCCAGCAGCCGCGGUAAUACGGAGGGUGCAAGCGUUAAUCGGAAUCACUGGGCGUAAAGCGCACGCAGGCGGCCUGUUAAGUCAGAUGUGAAAGCCCCGGGCUCAACCUGGGAACUGCAUUUGAUACUGGCAGGCUAGAGUAUGGGAGAGAGAAGUGGAAUUCCACAUGUAGCGGUGAAAUGCGUAGAUAUGUGGAGGAACAUCAGUGGCGAAGGCGACUUCUUGGCCCAAUACUGACGCUCAGGUGCGAAAGCGUGGGGAGCAAACAGGAUUAGAUA